AACGAACGCUGGCGGCGUGCCUAACACAUGCAAGUCGUGCGAGAAAGUUCCUUCGGGAGCGAGUAAAGCGGCGCACGGGUGAGUAACACGUAGGUAACCUGCCCCCCAGUCUGGAACAACUAGAGGAAACUCUAGCUAAUGCCGGAUGAGACCACGAUCCCUUCGGGGGUUGCGGCCAAAGAUGGCCUCUACUUGUAAGCUAUCGCUGAGGGAUGGGCCUGCGGGCCAUUAGCUUGUUGGUGAGGUAACGGCUCACCAAGGCUGUGAUGGCUAGCUGGUCUGAGAGGAUGACCAGCCACACUGGGACUGAGACACGGCCCAGACUCCUACGGGAGGCAGCAGUGGGAAUAUUGCGCAAUGGGCGAAAGCCUGACGCAGCGACGCCGCGUGGUGAUGAAGGCCUCGGUCGUAA
rnacentral:rRNA from 1 species